UCAACGAAACACUCUCUCUCUAUCCUCGCAACCCAACCCUACGAAACCCAUUUCUCACAGAGCAUCCCAUCUCUCACUCUACGAAACCCAUUCUCACAGAGCAUCCCAUCUCUCUCUACGAAACCCUCUUUGUCUCUCCUCGCAGCCCAACCCUACGAAACCCAUUUCUCACAGCGCAUCCCAUCUCUCUUUCUGUAGCAAACUUAUUCUCACAGAGCAUCCCAUCUCUCUUUCUGUAGCAAACUCAUUCUCACAGAGUAUCGCAUCUCUCUCUCUACGAAACCCUCUCUCUCCUCGCAGCCCAGCCCUAUGAAACCCAUUUCUCACAGGGCAUCCCAUCUCUGUCUCUGUCUCUCUCUUUCCUCCCAGCUCAAACCCUCUAAUAGUGGCAGCCAUUUCUCACAGAGCAUCCCUAAUCGAGCUGCGGAUGAAACUCAUUCUCACAGAUGUCGCAGCCCAAUCCCUCUAAUCGUGGCAGCCAUUUCUCAUAGAGAAACCCUCUCUCUCUCUCUCUCCUCGCAGCCCAACCCCUCUAAUUGUGGCAGCUAUUUCUCACACAAAAUCGCAGAAGAAGCAGCAGCAACAGAGCCCUCUCUCACAGUAUAAAUACGCAAAACAUAGAAAUAGGUCGAAAAGAUGCUCCACAGAAGAUGCAGUAAAUUUUUGGAAAAGAUUCAAGAGCCAUUUUUUGUUACACGCUCCUUGCUAUAGUUCAAGAGCUAUUUUUUGUUACACGCUCUAUAGUUGUGGUAAAUGUGUUGAUUGUGUUGUAUGGCAAUGGGGCAGUAAAGAGUCAUUUUUUUGAUGAAAUGAAGUUUUGUAAUGGACAUGUGUGGUGAAUCUAGUGAUUGUGUUCUAUGGAAAUGGGGACAGUAAUCAUUUUUUG